GGUCCCCUCGCAGCGAUAGAUAGUAAACCCCGCCAGGCCCGGAAGGGAGCAACGGUAGUUAUCGACUCGGGUGCCGAGGUGUGGCUGUU
rnacentral:SRP_RNA from 1 species